rnacentral:tRNA from 1 species
GCCCGGAUGGCGGAACAGGCAGACGCGACGGUCUCAAACACCGUUACUCGAGAGGGUGUGCGGGUUCAAGUCCCGCUCCGGGCA